GACGAACGCUGGCGGCGUGCUUAACACAUGCAAGUCGAGCGGUAAGGCCCUUUCGGGGGUACACGAGCGGCGAACGGGUGAGUAACACGUGGGUGACCUGCCCUCAGCUCUGGGAUAAGCCCGGGAAACUGGGUCUAAUACUGGAUAUGACUCCACGGUGCAUGCCGUGGGGUGGAAAGCCUUGUGCGGCUGAGGAUGGGCCCGCGGCCUAUCAGCUUGUUGGUGGGGUGAUGGCCUACCAAGGCGACGACGGGUAGCCGGCCUGAGAGGGCGACCGGCCACACUGGGACUGAGACACGGCCCAGACUCCUACGGGAGGCAGCAGUGGGGAAUCUUGCGCAAUGGGCGAAAGCCUGACGCAGCGACGCCGCGUGAGGGAUGAC
rnacentral:rRNA from 1 species